rnacentral:rRNA from 1 species
AGAGUUUGAUCCUGGCUCAGGGUGCAGUAGGGGGGUGUGCCUAAGACAUGCAAGUCGAACGAUCCCUCGUUCCACCUUGCGGUGGAACUACGGAGUCGCAUGCGAUCUUUAAAAUAUAAGGAUAGCCUGCUAUUCCGAAGCUCAAACGCAGUGUGGAGCGUAGGGUAGUGGCAAACGGGUGAGUACAAAAUAGGAACGUGCUUCGAAGCGGGACAUAGCCCCUCGAAAGAGGGGGUAAUUUCCCAUACGCCUACGGGUGAAAGACGCAAGUCACUACGAAAACGGCCUAUUUACUACCAGCUUGUUGGUAAGGUAACGGCUUACCAAGGCGAUGACGGUUACCGGCUCUUAGCGGAGAGUCCGGCACAACGGGACUGAGACACGGCCCAUACACCUACGGGUGGCAGCAGUUAGGAAUUUUGCGCAAUGGACGAAAGUCUGACGCAGCGACACCGCGUGGAGGAUGAAGACCUUAGGGUUGUAAACUCCUUUUUAGCGGCCAUGAAGGCCACUAGAAUAAGUAGCUACUAACUACGUGCCAGCAGUCGCGGUAAUACGUAGGCUGCGAGCGUUACUCGGAUUUAUUGGGCGUAAAGGGUCUGUAGACGGUUUUCUAAGUCUUAUUUCAAAGACCCCGACUUAAUCGGGGAAAGGGGUAAGAUACUGGGAGGCUAGAGUGUAUCGGGGUUAC